UCAGCUUAGCCUCACAACAGCCCCAGUGAGGUGUUAAAACAACUCAUCUUACUGGUGUGGGUGCUGAGACUGG
rnacentral:pre_miRNA from 1 species